GAAAAACGACAGUAGAAAGUAUUGUGUGUGAAUUCUAUGACGUUAAAGUAGCACUGUCUCAUAGCUGCCUUUAAUUAAGCUGUGCUCUACUGGGGACCAAGAGGGCCUUAUGACUACAGCUCUGGCUGAGGUAGUGCAGUGGUUACUUGUGGGCUCCUCAACAACUCCGACAACAUUUUCCCUUUCCUUUCCACUUUGCUUCUUUGAGGCAGCAUCACUCACAGACUGUGGACAGCAAGUCCCAGGAAUUAUCCAUCGAUGAGAUUAUAAGCAUACACUGCCAUGUCUAGCCUUUUAUGUGCCUGGCUAUGGAUCCAAACUUAAGUCUUCAUGCUCGUGUGGCAAGCAGUUUACCAAUUGGGCCAUCUUCCCAGCCCUGAUUUCUGCCAUUCUCAAAGCUAUUAUCAUAAAACAACCUUUAUUUUAGGAGAUAGAACUUGGCUAGUGUACAUGAGGAAAAACUAUAGAUUGGUUACCAACACAGGUAGUAUUUUUGGUAGAAGUGAACAUAAAAUGUACCAAUACAGGUAGUAUUUUUGGUAGAAGUGAACAUAAAAUGUACAUAGACGCUUAAGAAGGCAGGGAGGAAAUACAGAAAACAAGCAUUGCCCUACAAAGAGUCAACCAUAAUAAAGUGAGACCAAAGAACACACACAAGCCUACAGAACAGUUCUGAAGUCAGGCGGUGGUGGCGCACGCCUUUAAUCCCAGCACUCGGGAGGCAGAGGCAGGAGGAUCUCUGUGAGUUCGAGGCCAGCCUGGUCUACAAAGUGAGUUCCAGGAAAGGCACAAAACUACAGAGAGAAACCCUGUCUCGAAAAACCAAAAAAAUAAAAAAAAUAAAAAUAAAAAUAAAAGAACAGUUCUGAGCACAAAGCAACAAGCUACUGCAGAGCAAGACAAACGGUGGUUAAAUCACCUGGCGGUCCAUCUCUGCAGGGGCUGAAAGGUGCUCUUUCUCCAGUGUGGAACCAGGACAUUGAUGUUAGCGUGUGAACCUGACCAGUUCAUUGAUUCUUUCUUGGUCCUGGUUUCCUUAAUCACAGCAGCCUGUUAUUUGUUUUCUAAGAUGACAGUCUUAAAAUGGUUGAAAUGAAGAGCCACACAAAGCAUCUAUUAUGGGGCCAGAGGUUGACAGGACGUGGAGCCGCUGACUACUCUAAGAUAUAAGCUAAAGGCUCCUGUUUCUAAGAUCUUCCACCUCCUAACGAAAAAGGAUUGACUAUGACCUUAAAGCAAGGGCUAAAGCAGCUGAGCGAUCCAGGAGAUGGCCGGUACCCUGGGAGGAGGCCUCACAUUGUCCUUGAGUUCAUCUCACACGUCCAGCAGCUCUGAGGAAAUGGAAGAUCAGCCAGAUCCAGGGAGAUAUUCAGGAUGAGAGUGAAGGUGAGCAGAGAGUCUUGGAGUCUACUUGGAACAUGCUGACACCGGGAGGAGCAAGCUUUCAGAUGGUCUUCACAUACCGGAGCACAGACUGGCAAUAUUGAGCCACCACAGCAAACAUGCCUGAAGUGAGGUGUAAGUCAUCGGAGUUACUAAGCAAGCUUUAUGAAGACAGUUUGACUCAUGGUUCUUUUCCGGUAUCUUGUAAUCAAAAGAACCCCAAGUCAUUUACCUCUUUUCCAACAUAAAAGCUUAUUUGUUCUUCUUAAAUUAAAACUAUUACUUUUUAUAGUUUAUUUUCAAUUUUAAAAUAAUGUACCUGUAAAAUCCGGAAACAUGCAUGGAAUGAUUCGAUCAUUACAAGGGUAAUGCAUUCAAGUGUGUUUGCUAAUUAAAAAGAAUUCUCAGAGCAGGUUCUUGCUUUGUGCUAUGGUUCUCACAUUCUAUUCACGACUGGUCAUUUUCUUUUCUCUUCUUUUUGUCCACUGGAUGUCAUUUAAGGAGAAUAUUUUGCUUUUUGAGUGUUAGUAUUCAAGCUUCCUGAGCUGGGGUCACCAUGCUCUCUCCCACUUAGCCACAGCUCCUCGAGUCAGCGGGGCAUGUGGCCCUGGUGUCACCAUCAGCCAGGUGACCUUGGCUCAUUAGAGGUGUAUUAAUGAGGCCACCAUCUCAGGCCCCUGCCACGUGCAGACUGGCACUGUUUCUGUGAGUUGGAGGGGCCAGGGUCACCUCUCCUUCCAGCAGGUCAUCUCACAAAUGCACACCACUGGUCAUAGGCAAAAGAUCCCACUGGGCAAUUUAGAAACAUCACAGAAAUUUACUCCCGACUUCCUCUGACAGACAGGAAGCAUCAUAGCAUUACAGUCUUUAGUUGGGGUUGCUAAACGGGCGUCUCUACAAGGCACUUUUACGUAAGACCCAUCGCAUGAGCAUAUCCAAAUGGCCACAUUACACUUUUGAAAAUGGCGUCUGUACACAUUUCAGUGAGGAGAGCAGUUACACACCUUAUUAUAUUGAUUUUGGAAAUAUUUGAUGUAUUUCUUGUGCACUGGCCAGCUCACUAGAUACUGUGGGGAUAGAGUCCUUUUUCACGUUAUAUUCUAAGUGAUAGAAGAGGCUACAAUGUACUGCUGGAGAGAGAGAGAGAGAGAGAGAGAGAGAGAGAGAGGAGUGGAGACAGGACUGGAGUUGGGGGAAGGGGUGGAAAGGAGAUUCUAAAGAGGCAAAAAGAAAAACUGAUACUGGAGCAGGGCUCUGAGGCUACUUAGCGCUUAGGCAUGUGAGUUGGUGGCAGCAGGCACUCCUGUAAGAGCAAAGGCACAGAAUUAGCAAAGAGCCAAGUAAGUUCUAUAGAGCAGUCACAUUGCUGUUCACACAGGCCAAUGCAGGGAGCUGGUGAGAAGCUGACAAUGUAACUUGCUGCACAUGCUGGGAACACAUGGACAUCAUCAAGAUGGACACAGAGCACACGCAGUUACGUCUGAGAGAUGAAAGCUCUUUGUCCUAGGGUUAAGGUACAUGGUCUGAGCGAGGAGAAAGCAUCAGGAGACAUGGCUUGAGGCAUCAUCGGAGGGCAGUAGGGAGAAAAUGGAGAAGGGGUUUUGGAAGGGAUUUGAAGCAGGUUGUACUAGAAAUCUACAUGCAAACCCCACCCUAGCUGGCUUCUAAGAAUCACCCAGGGAGGAGCUCCCCAUGGGCCAGAUGAUGAGCACAAGCUGGAGAUGAAAGGACUCAACAUGAAAGACCUUCACUGUGUCCACCACAGGGAGGCGGAGCUGGAAGC